UGUGGACCCUCAUGUCAUUUGAGUUCACAUUGAAAUCCUUCAAGCAGGCUGAGCAACCAUCAGGUCUCUCUUUUGGUAUGUGGAUUCUCUUGAGCCUGAGACCCAAAAAAAGACACCUUUUCACCGCAGACCGGGAAAAUAAAUGGCUGCUCCCCUGUGUGACUCAUCAUGUGAUCCUGCGGAUUUGUGACCCGUUGCCUCCGGGUCUAACGUGACCAGUCCGAUCUUGGCACAUUGGACGCUGGGGCGGCGGUAGUGUUACGCUUCAUGUGGAGAUGCAAGGACUAUGGAACGCAGUGCUCUGAGACAGAAGUCUUCAACCAUAGACUUAACUACAUCUGUGGGAUGAUUUUGAUCCAUGGCUCACUGGGAGGACUGCCAGAGUUCAAUGAAAUCAUUCAAAUGGUGAUACUGCAAGACAAGUUGAUCUUUGUUGUGAAGAAGCUCAGUGGAUGGUAUAUUGAACACUGUAGAGCUUAUGAUCGCCAGGCAAGGAAGUGGGAACUUAUUGGACCAGAAGAACUACAUGAUGCUUACCCCCUGGCCGACUACAAAAUUGGGAGGAUGCGUCUUGUCACAUUGAAAAGAUAUAUCCAUGUUUAGUAUGGAGGACUAAAAGUGCCACAAUUAAAUAAAUAAACACACCAUUAAAAAAUGUAAUGUGUCAUUAAU
ensembl:lncRNA